AUUGAACGCUGGCGGCAUGCUUUACACAUGCAAGUCGAACGGUAACAGGUUAAGCUGACGAGUGGCGAACGGGUGAGUAAUGCAUCGGAACGUGCCCAGUCGUGGGGGAUAACGCAGCGAAAGCUGCGCUAAUACCGCAUACGAUCUGAGGAUGAAAGCGGGGGACCGUAAGGCCUCGCGCGAUCGGAGCGGCCGAUGUCAGAUUAGGUAGUUGGUGGGGUAAAGGCUCACCAAGCCAACGAUCUGUAGCUGGUCUGAGAGGACGACCAGCCACACUGGGACUGAGACACGGCCCAGACUCCGACGGGAGGCAGCAGUGGGGAAUUUUGGACUAUGGGCGAAAGCCUGAUCCAGCAAUGCCGCGUGCAGGAAGGAGGCCUUCGGGUUGUAAACUGCUUUUGUACGGAGCGAAAAGGUCUCCUCUAAUACAGGGGGCUCAUGACGGUACCGUAAGAAUAAUCACCGGCUAACUACGUGCCAGCCGCCGCCGUAA
rnacentral:rRNA from 1 species